UUAUUUAAUAAGAUAUUAUUUUGUAUCGUACCUCAUAAUAAUUAUGUUAAACCUGUCAUUAUUUCAAACACUUGGUAGUAUCCUUUUUAGUACCUCAUGCCAACUCUUUCAUCUGUCAUGGCGGUUUGUUUUGAACUUAUUUGUUGUUGUCUUGUCAUACCUAGUUAUUUUUGCAAAUUAGUAAGUUUCAUUGAAGAAAUUGAGAAAAAGUGCUGUGUACAAGUUUGUAAAAGUGAAUCGUGAGGUGGUUGCGGCAUAUUAUUUCACAGAUUUCCCAAGAAUGAAGAUAAGAAAAAAAUAUGGCCAGCCAUCCAGAUGUUGUUCCGGUGUCACAAUAGAUCAUCAUAAUCCAGUUCAAUGUAAUGAAGAACCACACAUGAGUUCCAGUUGUGAAGGCAUUAGCUAAUUGAUAUUUAAAUUUUAACAUACUUAUUCCAUAAUGGAAAAUCUAAUUCCUUAAAGAAUUUAGGCAGUAAGAUUGGCCUCCGGCAGAAUUGUAUAAAACAAUAUUGUUUAGCCAUGUUUAGUAAUAAUAAAAAUAAAUUCAAUAAAUACAGUGUCUUUUAUUUGAAUUUGUCAUAAUCUACUAUAUCCCAUUCCACGGGGAAAGAUAUUUGAUAAGUCAAAGUCAAUAUAUAAAUACAAA